UACGGGGGGGGCAAGCGUUGUUCGGAAUUACUGGGCGUAAAGGGCUCGUAGGCGGCCAACUAAGUCAAACGUGAAAUCCCUCGGCUUAACCGGGGAACUGCGCUUGAUACUGGAUGGCUUGAGAUUGGGAGAGGGAUGCGGAAUUCCAGGUGUAGCGGUGAAAUGCGUAGAUAUCUGGAGGAACACCGGUGGCGAAGGCGGCAUCCUGGACCAACACUGACGCUGAAUAGCGAAAGCCAGGGGAGCAAACGGG
rnacentral:rRNA from 2 species